GACGAACGCUGGCGGCGUGCUUAACACAUGCAAGUCGAACGGAAAGGCCUUGCUUUGUUGGGUUGCCCGAGUGCCAAACGGGUGAGUAACACGUGAGUAACCUGCCCUUGACUUUGGGAUAAUUUCAGGAAACUGGGCCUAUUCCGGGAUAGGAGCCCCUCUGCCAUGUUGGGGGUGGGAAAGUUUCGGCGGUUGGGGAUGGACUCGCGGCUUAUCAGCUUGUUGGUGGGGUAGUGGCUUACCAAGGCUUUGACGGGUAGCCGGCCUGAGAGGGUGACCGGCCACAUUGGGACUGAGAUACGGCCCAGACUCCUACGGGAGGCAGCAGUGGGGAAUAUUGCACAAUGGGCGGAAGCCUGAUGCAGCAACGCCGCGUGCGGGAUGACGGCCUUCGGGUUGUAAACCGCCUUCGCCUGUGACGAAGCGUGAGUGACGGUAAUGGGUAAAGAAGCACCGGCUAACUACGUG
rnacentral:rRNA from 1 species